GUGAGGCUUUACUCACAAUCAAUUAUUAUUGCAUGUAAAAAGUAAAUAAUACUUGACUAAGCAGAAAAAUACAUUGCAUUACAUUGAUCACAAGUGACAUUAAAGAUACUUUGUUACCAAAGAUUUAUAUUUCAAAUAAAUGCUGUUCUUCUGAAUUUACUGUUCAUCAAAUAACUAUUCAUGAAAAUAAUGCCAUUAUUAUUAUACAGCAUAAUAUACUUUAAAAAAAUUGAAAUAUCUUAAAAUCAAAAACUGGAAUAAAGUAACAACUGUUUAAUUGAAUCUUAAUAAAAUAUAUAUAUAUAUAUAUAUAUAAAAAAAAUUCCUCUUGCUUUGUCCACCAUCUUGAAUUAUUAUGCUGAGCUUCUCAUAUUUACAUAGACUUUUCCACAAAAUACAUUUUAGGAUUGCUUUCUCCAAAGUACACUGUAAAAAUUCAAAGUUGUAAAUAAAGAUUACAAAAAAAAAAAAAAAAAAAAAGUCAUGUUUAAUUCAACACAUUACUUGCCAUUUCUUUGAACUUUACUAGCAAUUUCUGAGAAUUGUAAUAAGUGAAAAUUGUGUUCCACUUUAACUACUAUGCAUUUACAUUUGAAUUAAUAAUUUGGUACUUUGUAAAUACAAGGUAUUUUUUAAAAUACAAGUCCACUUACAUUUAUAAUUACACUGUUGACCCAUCCCUUACACCUUAACCCACCCAUACCACCAAAAUUGGGACGGGAAGAUUAACCAAUUCGCUUGGUGCGUCGCGUAGGCUAUGCAUCAAGAUGGGUAUCGUAUCAGUCAUGGAUAUGCACAGCCCUACACCAAACCUGUCCCUAAGCUUACCUGUAUCCCACCUCAUAGCAACAAGAGUGUUUUGCAACACAAUAUGAACACAGUAAGGAUUGUACUCUGAAGCAAGUAGUUAAGGCCACAUAAUAUAAAGUGGAACCAAAUCAGACGCCUUUUCCUCACUGUAUACAUAAAUUGCUGUCUGAUUUGGUCAAGAGAAUGCAUCGGUCACGAUCACUCUGGGAGGAACAAGGAGAUGCAGGAGAACACGUCGAUUUAAAAUCUUAAUCCAACAAGCAAAGGGAUACAAACAGUGGAACUCUAGGAAGACAUAUGCUAACAGAACUCAAACAAGGAAACACAAGUCCACACUGACAUUACUCCCCCCUCCUGGAAGGUGGGUCAGACAACAAUUCCACCGGGGUAGUGCAGGAAUGGGACAUGGGUAAUACCUCCAGGGUGGAUCAGGCAGUCCAGGGUGCCAUGGCAGAGCAGGGAGCCAUGGUGGAUCAGGCAGUUCAAAAUGUCAUGGCAUAUCAGGGAACCACGAAGGCCAUGGCUGGACAGCCUCUGUGGCCUUGGCCUCACGACUCAGCCACUACAGCGGGGAACUCAAGGCACCAUGGCCGGAUGGCCUUGGAUGCACCCAUACUACCCCCACCCAACAAACAAAAUCCUUGGGCAGAGUUCACUCGGGGACUGGAGCCCUCUCUGGGCUAAACUCGGGGACUGGAGCCCUCUCUGGGGUACGGUUGGGGACUGGAGCUUCCUUGGGCUGGAUUCGGGGGCUGGAGCCAGCUCUGGGACUGGACACUGGUGCAAGCUCUGGGGGCUCAAGAGAAAUAGGAAAACAAAACUUUUUAAAAAAAAAAACAUGGGAAGAAAGGGCACCACUUACUGUUUGCAGGUUGGCUGUUCUGUAAUGACCAAUCUGGGAGGAACAAGGAGAAGCAGAAGAACACUUUGAUUGAAAUUUUAAUCAAACAUGCAAAGGGAAAAAACCACUGGAACUCAGAAGACAUAUAACAGCUGACAGAGACUCAGGGAAAUACAGGGUUUAAAUGCAAGGGGCAAACAAGCUAAUUAAUCAAACACAGCUGGAUACAAAUUAACACAAUGAGGACUGAAAGAGGAAACAUGACCAAAAAAGGAUAACAGGAACUAAGCCAGGGGUAAAACAAGGAAACACAAGUCCACAACACUGACAGCAUC
ensembl:lncRNA